rnacentral:rRNA from 1 species
UGCCUUACACAUGCAAGUCGAGCGGCAGCGCGGGGGCAACCCUGGCGGCGAGCGGCGGACGGGUGAGUAAUACAUCGGAACGUGCCCUUUCGUGGGGGAUAACCAGUCGAAAGACUGGCUAAUACCGCAUGAGAUCUCACGAUGAAAGCGAGGGACCGCAAGGCCUCGCGCGAUUGGAGCGGCCGAUGUCGGAUUAGCUAGUUGGCGGGGUAAAAGCCCACCAAGGCUACGAUCCGUAGCUGGUUUGAGAGAACGACCAGCCACACUGGGACUGAGACACGGCCCAGACUCCUACGGGAGGCAGCAGUGGGGAAUUUUGGACAAUGGGGGCAACCCUGAUCCAGCCAUGCCGCGUGUGUGAAGAAGGCCUUCGGGUUGUAAAGCGC